GUGGGGAAUUUUGGACAAUGGGCGAAAGCCUGAUCCAGCCAUUCCGCGUGAGUGAAGAAGGCCUUCGGGUUGUAAAGCUCUUUCGGCAGGAAAGAAAUCGUUGCCCCUAAUACGGGUAAUGGAUGACGGUACCUGAAGAAGAAGCACCGGCUAACUACGUGCCAGCAGCCGCGGUAAUACGUAGGGUGCGAGCGUUAAUCGGAAUUACUGGGCGUAAAGCGUGCGCAGGCGGUUUUGUAAGUCAGAUGUGAAAGCCCCGGGCUCAACCUGGGAAUGGCGUUUGAAACUGCAAGGCUAGAGUGUGUCAGAGGGGGGUAGAAUUCCACGUGUAGCAGUGAAAUGCGUAGAGAUGUGGAGGAAUACCGAUGGCGAAGGCAGCCCCCUGGGAUAACACUGACGCUCAUGCACGAAAGCGUGGGGAGCAAACAGGAUUAGAUACCCGAGUAGUCC
rnacentral:rRNA from 1 species